GCAAGGAGUUUGCAAGUUCUCCCCAUGCAUGUGUGCGUUCUCUCCGGGUACUCCGGCUUCCUCCUGAAGUCCAAAAUUAUGACUGUUAGGUUAAUUGAUUUUAGAGAAAUCAAUUAAUCUUCCUUGUGAUCUUCCUGUGUCUCCAGUUUGUCUUCUUUUUGCUUUUUUUGUUCUCCCCUGUUUUACUUCCUCCAAUCCCUGUGAUUGGAGCCGUUUCCUCCCAUGGGUUGAAUACGCUCACAAUAGUCAUAUCUCUGCAGCCACUGGUUUCUCUCCUUUCGAAGUCUCUCUAGGUCUCUCCAGCCACCAUUGCUCUCCUCUGAUGAGAAUAACAUUGCUGUCACAUCCGUACAACAUCACAUCCGCCGCUGCAAGAACAUCUGGAAAACCACCAUCGACGCCCUCAAUAACACCUCCGCCCAGAACAAGCGCCUCGCUGACCGUAGAUGGACCUCGGCUCCCACCUACACUCCUGGCCAGAAGAUCAAGCCCGUCCAGUCCAGCAUCUUGUGCCCUCCUUCCGAGCCCCCUCCUCCCGCCCAAGACGUGGAUGGGCAUUCUGCUUACACUGUCCGCCGGAUCGUGGACUCCCGUCGACAAGGUCGUGGCUGGCAGUACCUCGUCGACUGGGAGGGCUACGGUCAGGAGGAUCGCUCAUGGGUCCCAGGUUCUUUUAUUCUUGACCCUUCUCUGAUUGAGGAUUAUCGAUCUUUGCUCCCUUCCGGUUCAUCUCGGCCACCAGGUGGCGACCAUUGAGGGGGCGGGAGGACUGUUGGGAACCGGGGGUUUUGUUCCCUGUUGUGGGUUUUUUCUGUUCUCCCUGUUGGUCUGUGGCUCCUCCCUUCAUCCACCAGAUGGCACCAGAGGCUGUUUUCCUGGAGGGGCGUACCUGUGGUUCAAGCGCACCUGUGUUUCAUUAUCCAAUCAUCCUGAGGCUUAAGAGGAGCAGGUGGUCUGCACUUCACUUCAUGGCCUGAGUGUUAGCCAGUAAUGGUACUCUGAGCCCUCCUGAGUGUACUCUCUGAGCUUUAUUGGAGAAGAACUCUUUGUAAUCACUCUUGUUGCUUCCCUGUUCUCAGGUUUUUCCUUGUGACGCCAAGUAUUCUCCUUGAGAAGACCUCGUUCUGGAUUUCUCCUCCUCGUGAUGCUGUGGAUUAUUACUCACUGGUUGUCCGAGUCCCACCUUCACCUCCUCCAUUUGAUCACAAACCGCUCCUGGGCUCUCCAGCUGGCAGUCGGAUCGCUCCUCUGUCUUCUUCCAUGCCUGAACUGACCUGUCCGCCCUCCACCGCAGCCUCCACGUUUCCACACGGAACCUCCCUGAUUGAGCCACCCUCUGGAACCCGGAUCACCUUCUAGACCCACACAAAGGAUUCAUAACCCCGAGCCCUCAGUCAACUCUCUCCCCGAAUAAAUGUUCCAUCGUUACAAUGUACCGACGACUCCGUGAACCUGCCCCAGGGAUUAUUCUCACCCGACCUCUCUUGCCUUAUUGUAUUAAUAAACAUUCUCUAACUGAU